AUUGAACGCUGGCGGCAUGCCUUACACAUGCAAGUCGAACGGCAGCGGACCUUCGGGUGCCGGCGAGUGGCGAACGGGUGAGUAAUAUAUCGGAACGUACCUUUCAGUGGGGGAUAACGUAGCGAAAGUUACGCUAAUACCGCAUAUUCUGUGAGCAGGAAAGCAGGGGAUCGCAAGACCUUGCGCUGAUUGAGCGGCCGAUAUCAGAUUAGCUAGUUGGUGAGGUAAAGGCUCACCAAGGCGACGAUCUGUAGCGGGUCUGAGAGGAUGAUCCGCCACACUGGAACUGAGACACGGUCCAGACUCCUACGGAGGCAGCAGUGGGGAAUUUUGGACAAUGGGCGCAAGCCUGAUCCAGCCAUGCCGCGUGAGUGAAGAAGGCC
rnacentral:rRNA from 1 species